GCUUACGGCCAUACCACCCUGAACACGCCCGAUCUCGUCUGAUCUCGGAAGCUAAGCAGGGUCGGGCCUGGUCAGUACUUGGAUGGGAGACCUGGCAAUACCAGGUGCUGUAAGCU
rnacentral:rRNA from 1 species